CACUCGUUCAUUGUGCCGUCGUGGAUCGCAUUGACGAUGCGCCGUGAGAUCUCAAGCGGCACUUUUUCGCCAGUCGAACUUGAGAUGCCGUAAGCUGGACCUCCCACCCAGCCGGUGUUCAUCAGCCACACGGUAGUGGCGUGUUGUCGGAUUUUUUCUUCCUGAGCACAAAAAGGGAGGAAACGCAGAAGGGAGGUUUAGCCGGGAUGCGGUUGCUGGCCUGUGCAGAAGAGACGGUGUACGCUUGGCGCCUCUGCCGUCCCUUUCCCGGCAUCAUCUCGUCUAGUAUAUUUCGUGUGCUCUCUUCGCGCACUCACGCGCCGCAUGCCACACCGACACCGUAAUUGUCCGCAAAGGUGUAGGUCGCGUUUGCCUCUGGCGAGGGAGGGACACUGGACAGAAAUCCAAUGCUUUUGUCCAGUGUUACGCCUGCGUCUCGAGAUCGCUGCCCAAUCUGCGUUCCGUGCACUCCUGCGCUGACGCGUACCGGUCGCGUAGGUACCACUGCAUUCAUGCAUGUGUUUACAUCUGCAUAUUUGUAUAGCACCCAGGUUACAAGAGGAGAAAAAAUAUAAGGAACCCCAGCAACGAACGGAUGAUAACGGUGUCGUUCGUUGCGUCCCAGCCGCCUGCGAAGAGUUUACCAAACGAGGCUGACAUGUCCACCUUCCUGUGGACACAUGACCCGUGAGAAAUCUCGCGAAAAGACAAGAAGGUUCUCCGCGCGAGAAGCGACACGGUUUUUCCUCUUUGCUUGCCAGCGGGUCAUCCCUUCCCCUCGCGUCCCCUCAUGGCAUUCCUAUGCAUGUACGUCAAAGUGUCUCUGUGCGCGCGACGGUACUCACCAGAAUGCCGCUGUAGACUGUGGGGUGGAGCGGCAGGAAGGGGCAACCUGAGCAGGCCGAGAAAGUGACGAUGCGCCGCUGGAGCUCGGGCACCGUCCCGUUACUUCCCUUUUCGACCGUCGCUUCUUUGCAGGUGAAUCCACUCAGGAAAUAAAAGAUAGCCUGGCGGAGAGAGAGGCGAGCGACGGGAGGAAAUACACCGAAGGUGUCGUUUACCUGCGAGAAAAUCAAGCAAGGGCGCGAGGCAGGGAGGAGCAUGCGAAGAGGCAGAAGAAGGGCGGAAGGAGAGAAGCGACAGGGUGCCGGCAGCACCGAGAAAGCAACAGAGAAAAAAGGGAGAGCUGGAAGACGCAACAGGUGGUGACAGGCAGGAGGGGGGGACCAACCGAUGUGAAGAAAGAGAGGCGACACGGGUAAGCCUGAUACGUAUAAAUUCGUCAACACCACGGACAAGAAUUUGUAUAUUUGUUGGUUAUGCGGAGAGGGAGAGAAAAGACAGGGAGUCCAUCCAGUGGAAUGAGGAAGAACAGAGUUCCUAGUCUGCAUGACUCACCAACAUGAUGAAAUGCUUGGGAUGGAGGCAGACGGAAGGGAGACCUUUCAUGCCGCGCUCCAAAUACGCUAAUGGAUAAGUACAGCGUGUAUUAUCCGUGAGAGUCGUGUCGUAGAAGUACACUUGCCGUGUCGCCUUGUCCAAGACAACAUUCUCCAUGACACUCCCGUAAACCAUGGC
rnacentral:lncRNA from 1 species